UCUUUUUCAUAACCUGUUACAGAUACAAUAUUCUCUCAAAUUCUUUUGAGGAUACUAAUUAGCCUUCUUUUUAAAGGCUCUCAUGUUCCCUGAAUUAUACCUAAAAUUUCUGGUAUCAGUUACUCUCUUUGUUCAUCUAAAUAUAGUUCUUCCUUAAAUAUCAAAUGAUCCUUGAUUGUCAGCUUAUUUUUCUAAAGGAAAAACGAUGUCAAUUAAUAUGGGUAGCUACACUGCUUCAGCUGCACUGUGAAACAACUUCUCCUGAAAGGUCUCUUCUCGGACUGCCAAGGAUGUCAACAGUCAGAACGUUCUGCAAAAUGGCAGCUGAACUCUACACCAGUGUGUACCAAAGUAGAAGCUGACUGAAAAGAUCAGCUGAUUCUCCAGCCCAGUUGGAAGCUGCCGCCUGGAAGCAAUGGUGAAGAGAUUUUCUCGGAUGCCGGGCCACCUGAGCUGUAACAGCUAUGGAGAAGCCACAAUGUUUUGGGAGCUGGUUUGAUAACGCUUCACGCAUGGCUAAAACCUCAGACAUAAUACUGGACCAUACCCACUAGCUGUCUGCAAAGAAUAUAAAUACCUCUGCGUGUGA